rnacentral:rRNA from 1 species
UACGUAGGGUGCAAGCGUUAAUCGGAAUUACUGGGCGUAAAGCGUGCGCAGGCGGUGAUGUAAGACAGUUGUGAAAUCCCCGGGCUCAACCUGGGAACUGCAUCUGUGACUGCAUCGCUGGAGUGCGGCAGAGGGGGAUGGAAUUCCGCGUGUAGCAGUGGAAUGCGUAGAUAUGCGGAGGAACACCGAUGGCGAAGGCAAUCCCCUGGGCCUGCACUGACGCUCAUGCACGAAAGCGUGGG